GAUGAACGCUGGCGGCGUGCCUAACACAUGCAAGUCGAGCGAACGCAUGAGAAGCUUUCUUCUCUGAUGUUAGCGGCGGACGGGUGAGUAACAUGUGGAUAACCGACCUAUAAGACGGGGAUAACUUCGGGAAACCGGAGCUAAUACCGGAUAAUAUUUUGAACCUCAUGGUGCAGAAGUGAAAGACGGUCUUCCUGUCACUUAUACAUGGAUCCGCGCUGGAUUAGCUAGUUGGUAAGGUAACGGCUUACCAAGGCAACGAUGCGUAGCCGACCUGAGAGGAUGAUCGGCCACACUGGAACUGAGACACGGUCCAGACUCCUACGGGAGGCAGCAGUAGGGAAUCUUCCGCAAUGGGCGAAAGCCUGACGGAGCAACGCCGCGUGAGUGAUGAAGGUCUUCGGAUCGUAAAGCUCUGUUAUUAGGGAAGAACAUAUGUGUAAGUAACUGUGCACAUCUUGACGGUACCUAAUCAGAAAGCCACGGCUAACUACGUG
rnacentral:rRNA from 1 species